AUGUCACUGAUUUCUUGGUGCGAUCCAUGGUGGUGCUGGUGCAGAGAAGCGUUGGGCACUUCAGUGCAGGCAAGGUAUCUAUCAAGAUGGGAUAUUCAGGUCGCUCUGCGUAGUGGGUGCCUCAUCAUUUACAGGAAAGUUAUUAAUUCUAGGAAGCGAUUGCGUGCUGAUGUAGGACUUGAUGAAGGAGAGGUAUGUCCCAAGUGA
rnacentral:rRNA from 1 species